ACCUUAGUUGCUUCGGCGGGCCCGCCAUUCAUGGCCGCCGGGGGCUCUCAGCCCCGGGCCCGCGCCCGCCGGAGACACCACGAACUCUGUCUGAUCUAGUGAAGUCUGAGUUGAUUGUAUCGCAAUCAGUUAAAACUUUCAACAAUGGAUCUCUUGGUUCCGGCAUCGAUGAAGAACGCAGCGAAAUGCGAUAACUAGUGUGAAUUGCAGAAUUCCGUGAAUCAUCGAGUCUUUGAACGCACAUUGCGCCCCCUGGUAUUCCGGGGGGCAUGCCUGUCCGAGCGUCAUUGCUGCCCAUCAAGCACGGCUUGUGUGUUGGGUCGUCGUCCCCUCUCCGGGGGGGACGGGCCCCAAAGGCAGCGGCGGCACCGCGUCCGAUCCUCGAGCGUAUGGGGCUUUGUCACCCGCUCUGUAGGCCCGGCCGGCGCUUGCCGAACGCAAAUCAAUCUUUUUCCAGGUUGACCUCGGAUCAGGUAGGGAUACCCGCUGAACUUAAGCAUAUCAAUAAGCGGAGGAAAAGAAACCAACCGGGAUUGCCUCAGUAACGGCGAGUGAAGCGGCAAGAGCUCAAAUUUGAAAGCUGGCUCCUUCGGGGUCCGCAUUGUAAUUUGCAGAGGAUGCUUCGGGUGCGGCCCCUGUCUAAGUGCCCUGGAACGGGCCGUCAGAGAGGGUGAGAAUCCCGUCUGGGAUGGGGUGUCCGCGCCCGUGUGAAGCUCCUUCGACGAGUCGAGUUGUUUGGGAAUGCAGCUCUAAAUGGGUGGUAAAUUUCAUCUAAAGCUAAAUACUGGCCGGAGACCGAUAGCGCACAAGUAGAGUGAUCGAAAGAUGAAAAGCACUUUGAAAAGAGAGUUAAAAAGCACGUGAAAUUGUUGAAAGGGAAGCGCUUGCGACCAGACUCGCCUCCAGGGUUCAGCCGGCAUUCGUGCCGGUGUACUUCCCUGGGGGCGGGC
rnacentral:sRNA from 1 species